rnacentral:lncRNA from 1 species
AAUAAUAUAAAGAAUAAUAAUAUUGUUAUUUGAUUAAUAUAAGUCAUAAAAUUAAUUAGAAUUAAUUUGGUGACUUAAAGAGAUUAAUUAAAUAAGAGGGUAUAAACUGUCAAUUGUUUGAUAGUUAAACUUUAGACUGUAAAUCCAUAUUGGAUAGGGGUGGACGGAUUCUAGAAGCUAGGGAUAGCUUAAAAUCGUCCAAGUCUAUCUAAGGAAUGGAUUUGGAUUGCUUUAAGAGAAGAUUAUCCAACUAGGGUUUAAGCUGUAACCCUUAAGGAGUCUACAAGUAUAAAUAGACCAUAUGGCAAAGGGAAAUCGGCACUUCAUCUAAAGUAGAGAACCCCUGGCCGAAUUCCCUCCCCUCUCCUCUCUCCCAAAUCAUCCUCCUUGCUAUUUGGUGUUUCUAAGCCAUUAGAGGAUUGACAAUUGUGACUCUAGAAGCAACAAGACAACAAGAUCAAACAAGAGAUUCAAAGGUAUGAUUCUAGAUCUGAUUUAAUAUUGUUCUUAUACCUAAUUAGUAAUUAGAAGUCUUGGAUUCAAAGCAUUUUAAUUAGAAAGCCUAGAUCCAACCAUUAGGGUUUUGCAUGCGCACAUAGGAAAGUUCUUAUGGCUAAAACCCGUCAGCACCAUGUGUCCGCUUUGCAAUGCUUUCAUGGACUCUUAUAUUGAACUACUCAUUUGAUGCCUUCCAAGGUAUAAACUCUACUUAUGGUGUGAAAACAGGUCUCAAGAUAUUUUUGAAGUGAUUUCAAGGGUGCUAUUAUUGACCAUAUGGACGUAGAGGCACGGUAUGAUUUUCAAUAGCAAAGUGAAGAUAUUGUCUACUCUAACUUAUGAGGUCAAGAGUUUGAGCAUUUUAUGGCUUAAAAAUAAAGCUAAAUGGUGUAGGGAUUUGAUAUGGAACUCAUGGGCCAACAACCUUCUAUAUUGUACAAUGUAAUUCCUGCUUCUUGAAGUUCAAUUUAUAUAAAGUCUAGCCGUUAAAACAGCCUCAAUAAGAUCUCAUUUUAUUGGCAAAGAAGUGGGAAAUUACAUAUUCGGUUUUUUAUUAAUAGAAUGAAGGAAUUAGUAAGUAACAUCAACUCUUUUGUACCAAUGAUAAAGACUAAAAUGGUAAUCAAAAUGCGUCAAAAACCCAAAUGUUGUAAAAAAUUUCCUCAUAGUUGAGUUGUUUCGCAAGCAGCCUCCCCCAUGACUAACAAAUGAAGUGUUUCGACACACUCCCAAAAGUCUAUUAAACUAGAAGAAGCAUUGAAUCCGAGUACUCCUGAUCGCAACCUUGUCUUGGGAUUAUAAAUUUGGAACCCUUCCCCAUAAGUAGUGAGCAACAAAUUACACUCGUUGGUUGUUUGCGGUUGUGGUUGGAAUUGAAAAGCUCCAUCAACUGGAAGUUUACUUGUCUUGGGAUGGUUGAUAGUCUUGUCGUCAACCAGUCCGGAGCCAAUCCAGGAAAUGGAAUCAUACCAAAAACAUGAGUGCUCAAAUCGAAUGUCAGUAUACAAGAAAAGUCUAAGUCAAAAUGAUUUACCUCCCAAUGCAAUACUCCUUUGAAUAAAAAGGCCUCACGUCGCACAUAAGUAAACUCAGGUUUAGGGGAAGCAAUCUCACACCAAGUGCCUGUCUUCACCGCAUAAACAAAUGAACUGUCUUUUUCAUAUGAUAUCCAAACAAUUUUGUAAUCGUCAUUGAUUGGGUCAAAUCCAAACCCAAUACCUCCCAAAGCGAGUUCAGAACUCCGAGGACAUUCAGGCACUCUUACUUUGCGUCUGAUUGAAGGGUUCCAUAGAGUCAAACCAUUUUUCGUCUUCAAACAGAAAGUUCCAUUACAUGAACCAACAGUUCUGAACCUAUUGCUACAAGGAAACGGAAUUGUUGUUGUUAUACCAAUAUAUCCACGUUUGGGACACAAACACAAGGGCAAUUCGUCUUCUCCGUGUAAUGUAUAAACGACUUCUGCUAUUUUAUUAUUGUCAAUAUUUUCAUGCGUGAAGCGGAUUUUUUGUGGGGAUCGGAAUGUGUGCAAGCGUAUGAACUGGGGACUAGAAAUACAAGUAUAUAACGAUUUAGAGAGUGAUCUAAAUCGGAGGAGGGAUUUCGGUGGUAGUCUUGUAAAUAUUUCAACAAUCAACUCUUCGCAUAGAUAAUCUGUCAUCUGCAUUUUUCCAACAAUAUAAAAGUCAGUUGUAAUAGGGUGCAAUUACAAUUCCUCUCUGUUUGAAUAAGUUUAGAAUUCUUGUCAAUAUAUAUUCAUGUUUCUGUAAAUUGAUGAGGCAGAUGUACGUCAACUAAAAUUGACAGUGAAACUGAUGAGCAAGAGCAACUCCAACGUGAUCUAGUUCCAAUUUCAUGCAGCUAAAUUAACAAAUAAACUCAAACUGAGAUAAAAUUAAAAAAGUAACAUAGGGCAUUUAUAUGCUUAUUCUGAGGAUAUUUAAUUUCGCUUUUUUUAUGUGUAUAUAUAUAUAUAUAUAUAUAUAUAUAUACACACACACACACCCUAAUUAUGGUUAUUUGAAAAUAGGAUAUUNUAUAUAUAUAUAUAUAUAUUGGUGAUACAUUAAUUAUAUUUAGUUUUAUUUGUUAUAUUUGCAAUGGAUAAACUUACUAAAAUGCAAUGAACUGAUUGCGCAUGUCCUAUAUAUACAAAACAGAUAUUCAAAUGACCAAAGUUUGAUUGUCGUUAUGAUCAGUUACAUUAUCUAAUAUACUUUCAAAAAGAUAUCAUCAAUACAUGAUUAUAAUGUCAACGAAUCUGGAUAUCUUUACAGCCAUAAUAGCAUAAACUAUAAGGCAAACAAAAAAAAAAAAGAGAGAAGAUCUUAAAAGGGAAUUAACAAAACAACCCACCAGAGCAGACGAAGACGAGGAACGCUGAUCACGAUUGUUUGAAAUAGUUGUGGUAGGAAAAAAUACAUAAGGUAGUAAGUUGCUUUUUAAAAGGAGUGUUUGUCUUAGAUUAAGGGUAUUGUAAGGUAACACUGACUUUUACAAUUCAAAAAGUAACAAGGAGUUUAGAAAAGUUACAAAUUAUAACUUCUUAAAAUCUCAUUUUUAAGGGUUAAGGAGAAGUUGUUUUAAAAGUAUUUUCCUCUUUGCCAAACACAUUUUUUGACUUAUUGACUUUUGAAAAAGCCAAUAAGUCAAUAAGCUGUUUUGAGAUGAAAUCCCAAACAACCUUUUAGUAUUAAUAUGAAGGCUCAUUAUGGGAAAAUAUCAUUCUUAUAUGGUAUCAUAUUAAUUCCCACUCAAUUCUCAUUUUCGAUCUUGCAAGCCGUCGAUAACCCUACACCCCCGACUGGACCUAUACUUUCUUUUCUACCCACUAUCUAAUAAUCACCAUCUUCAUAUUAUUUCUUACCAUCUUCAUCCACCAUGGACACACACUCCUCAAGCUCAAAACCAUCACCAACGAAUCAGAAGCCUUAUGGUGUCACAAAAUGUUAAAACCUUUGUUCCUCUAUUAGUAGAUCUUAACUAACUCAAUGACGAUGCAUGGAGAGAGCUGUUUGAGACCUACUGUCGUGAGAUUAGUGUUCUUGCUUAUCUAAUGGGUUCAUCCAAACCUACUUCUGAAUCUGAUGAAGAUUUGCAUACCCUUGAUGUUGUGGUCAAAAUCUAGAUCUAUGGCACCCGCACCUAGUCACUCCUCAAUACCAUCCUCCAACCAUGUUCAACUGCCAACUUUGUUUGGGUAAGCCUUGAAAUCCUUUUUCGUGAUAAUAAAGAUUUGCUCUCUAUUUAUAUUGAUAAUGAAUUACAGGUCAUGACUCUAGGGGAUCAAACGAUAGUCGACUAUUGAGAAAAAAACCACCUUUUCUAACCUACUUGCCAAUUUUUAAAACGUAGUACCUGCAAGAACUCUUGUUACUCGUCUUCUAAAUGGUUUCUUGCCUCAAUAUGAACCCAUUGUUAUGAUCCUAUGCCCCAAAGACCAUUUUCUUUCAUUUCUCCAAGCCCGGUCAGCCCUUGUGGCAAAGGAACAACGGCUCAAGAGAAACCGCCAAAAACAACAACCAUCACACACCGAUCAUGCAUCCUCACCGACAGUCAUCUACACUACUAAUCAGUCCCAAUGGUCCAGAGCUUCUUGUGGUGCAUGUGAUAUCCCCAUUUUCACGGUCAGAAAAGAACGAUUUUGUUUAUGCUUUGUUUAAAAACCAGAGUAACAUUUUAAAUAAAAGUGUUUCGGAAUUUGUUCCCAUAAUAAAAUAUUAUAAAGAUUUAUCAAAGCAUUUCUAUAGAAAUGUAUUUCACUAAAAACCUCAGGAUGUCAUGUUCGAUACAGAUCAAAAGCCUAAACAGUACAAUAUAAGCCUUACUACAUUUAUUCAUAUUUACAAGCCUCCGGAAUGAGCCUCAACAGAAAAGAAGGAAACUUCCCUAUCUAGUUCAAGUCCUAAAACAACGGAUAUUAGAGAAGCUGUACGAGAAUAAAUAGCCAUAUCCCUAGGGGCACCUUCGAUCGAUACUGCCUUAGACCCUGCCCUUGGUCCUAAACCUGCUUACGCCGGAGAAGCCCUUACUUUUUUAGCUUGAAAGACAUCUCAGGAAAGAGCUACUUCAACUGAAGAAAUUUAUUUAGUAGCGAGAACCCUUCCUACUCGAGAAUAAGGUCAGGAAGUGAAGCGUCCAAUUAUGCUCAAGCGCCACUAACUGUAAUACAUGAAACUGAGUGGGUCAGACUUGGGAGCCUGGUGAGCUGUAGCACCUGGUUCCUGGUACGUAAUCCUUGUAAUUAAUAUUUCUUGAUUAUGCAUUUUUCCUUGGACCCGGCGAGUUGAAGGACCAACUCGCCGAGUAGAAGCGGGAUGAGACGCGGGGUCUAAGCUUUGGACUCGGCGAGUAGACCCUGUUUGGGCAAAAACCCUAAUCCGGGUGUUGGCACCCUAUUUAAACGCUCUAACUUGGCCUCCUUUGUCCCUAACACUUCCAGAGAGCUGUAGAGAGAAACCCUAGCCCCCAUAUUGUUCUUGAGAGUGAUUUUGGCUUUGUGAAGAAGGUUUGGAGCUUAGAAGAAGAAGGAAGAGGUUGAAGUGAGCAAGAAGGGGAGGUAGAUCCGGAAUCUACAUUGUGAGAAGCUUCCAUUCAGGUAGAAAAGUUCUUACCUUGAUCACUAGUUCAUUAGAUUCCCUUUUUGUCCCAAAUUAGUGGUUUUCAAGCCCUAAAACCUCAAGCUCCAUGUGUUAUGCUCUAUGUUCUGAAAGGACUUUAGAUUUGGACCUUAUGGACACCUUGGAAGUGUAAAGUCUCUGUGGUUGGGGUUAUUGAGGUCCCUAUUGGGUGUAGGACCUCUUAAAGAGCUUGGAUUUGCCUUUUUGAGCUUAUGGGGCCAUGCAUGCACGUAAAGUUUGCAACUUUAUGUGAUAAGCAUGCCCUAGGAGCAUAGAUCUAUGGUUUAGAAGCGUUGCAUGUCUCAGAUUUGGUCUGUAUGGGAAGUGGGUCGAAGGGACUCGGCGAGUCCCAAAGUGGAACUCGGCGAGUUCUAUGAAGAUGGUCUUAGACUCGGCAAGUUAGAGGAACAACUUGGCGAGUCCUAUGAAGAUUGCCUGGAACUCGACGAGUUGUUCUUCAAACUCGGCGAGUCAUAUGAAGUGUUACUGAGUAAGAGGGGUUUAAGUGUUGAAGGUCCAACCCUUCGUAUCUGCAUGCGGAAUUAGCAAUUUAACGUGUAUCAAUAGUCCCAGAAACCCAAAUCCUCAUAAGGGAUGCUCUGGUGAGCAUUUGGAAGCGAGUAGGAGGUCUGCUCGUGGGGACUCGGCGAGUUGUUCUUGGACUCGGCGAGUCGGAUCGCGAGUCGGUUCUAUAGUCCCGAGUAGUAAGUUAAGGGUGACUCAGUGAGUGGGAAGGGGGACUUGGCGAGUAGGACCGGGUUAGUAGGAGAAGGACUCGGCGAGUCUGUGCCAUGACUCGGCGAGUCCAGUCAACUGGAAGUUGACUUUGACCAAGGAGUUGACCUUGGACCAGGGGUGGGUCAGUCGAUUAACCUAAGGGUAUUUAUGAGGGGCUGAUCUAUGUUUAUGGAUUUGUAGCCGGACGAUUACCGGUGCAGCAGUCAGACGUUUAGCAGUCAGACUUUCGGUAGCUACUUUUCGAAGUGAGUUUCCUUCCAGUAGGAACGGGUCUAAGGCACCAAGGCCGACCCGUAUAGACGAUAUGAUAGUAUCGGAGUGUGGGCUAAGCUCGUAUCUCAUAGUUGAAUUUGAUUAUGUUAUAUGCCAGUAUGAUAGAAUUGCUUAUACUUGUUGUAUGUGUGAUACUUGUAUGUUAUGGUUUAGUAGCUGAGUGUGGGCGAGGUCCGUAUCUCUCAGAUAGCGGAGUGUGGGCGAGGCCCGUAUCUCUCAGAUGGCGGAGUGUGGGCGAGGCCCGUAUCUCUCAGAUGGCGGAGUGUGGGCGAGGCCCGUAUCUCCAUGAGUGUGGGCGAGGCCCGUAUCUCCUAGAUGUUCAUUGUAUGAUUGUAUGGUAUGAGGUAUUGUGGGGGAACUCACUAAGCUUCGUGCUUACAGUUUAUAGUUUUGGUUUCAGGUACCUCUUCAGCGAAGGGGAAGGAGCUGGCACGGUAGCGGCCCAUCAUGCACACCUCUUGUUUUCCGCAUUAAGAAAUUGUUCUGGGAUUUGUACUCUGACACUAUGGUUGCCCCCAUGUUUUGGUUUCCAGACACGUAAUAUGUUUUAAGAAAUGAUAUGAUCGAAUGUUGUUUAUUUUCAAAUGUUUGCAAAGUGUUUAAUUAAAAAUGAAAUUUUUGGACUUGAAAAAUUGGGUCGUUACAAGUUGGUAUCAGAGCCCUGGUUUGAGGGAUUCGGACACACCCUCGGGGAUGUCUAAACUCAAGUCAAGGGAAUAAAGGAUUUCGGAAAAGAAAAGUUUUCUAAGGGAUUAAGUAAAGAGUUUUAAGAAAGAACGAAGUGUAUGAUGUGCGCGACCGGCCGAGCUCAAGUAAGUAUUCCCCAAAAUACCCAUACAAGUUUAUGUUAUGUUUAACAGUUUCAGUAGAACAGCAUGCUAGAAUAGGACUAAGGAUCUAGGAGUGAUGCCUUACGUGCCUGCUAUAUGUGCUUCAGCUUAUGAGAAUUGCGUGCUAGCAUUGAGUAGACAACAUUAGGAUAGCCUGUUUAGGUUAUGCCUGAUAGUAUGUGUUUAGCAUUGUAUGCUAGAUCAGUUUCUCUCUAUGAGGACAGGUUUGGUUGAGGUAGUUCCCUUUUGUCUAAAUGCUGCUUGCUUUGUGCUUUGUGGGGCUCUGAGUGAUGGGUGUGAGCCAUUAGGUGAAUAUGUCAUGUCACAUGUGACCAGGGUUGGAUAAACUUAGAGUGCUGGAUUUGGCCCUAUUGCGCAGUUCUCGUUUGAGUCUAACUGUUGUAGGGACAAGUCUGUUACUCGAAAGAAUAUAUGAGACUCAUCACAUGUGAUGGUAUUCAGGUGAUGGCUAAUUGGCAUUACAAGGAGGCCUUCAGCAGCUGAGGCCCAGGUAGGGUGGAGUCAGUGAUUUCCCUAGGGCAAGCCUAGGAUGAGUAUACCAGUGAUCAGCAGUAGUGAAAGGGAUCUGAUGGAGUCGAGGCAGUCCUUGAAGAAGGUACGGAUAGAUGUGGAAGGUAGUAUGGGCCCGUACUACUAAAAGCAUAGGAUCCAUACCCGAACUAAGGAAGGCUGAGACAAGACCGGGGAACUUGAAAUAGAUGUGAUCCCUUUAGAGGUAUCAGUAUCACUAAUGGUUGCAUGUGUGUAUUGCAGAAUGGUGGUACUACGCCAGAGGCCAGCUGGUGGCAGUUCUGGAGAGCGAUCGGGUUCGGGAUCAGGUUCCGAGCCAGUGGAUGAGAGGCUACGCGAGUUCAUCACGUCAGAGAUCACCAGAGGCAUCCUUGAGUCGACCCCCAUCAUUUUCGGGUCGAUUAAGGAAGGGAUAUUUGAGCUGAUGGAGGACCGCUUCAGNCCGCUUCAGGGUUCAGGAGUGACAUGACAUCUGGCCAGUCAGUAUCUAGCACACUGUCCUUUAAGGACUUCAGGGGCAGUGGUGCGCCAGAUUUCCAUGGGGCGAAGGACCCCAUUGCUUCCAGACGAUGGAUUGCGGACAUUGAGUCCGCACAGCUGACUAGCUUCUGCCACAAGGGGUCGAAGGUGAGAUACGCAUUGUUGAAUUAGCCAAAUUUUACCUACUAGAGUCGGUCACCUAGUAGGUAAAUUAUAUAUAUAUACAUAUAUAUAUUUUACCGAUGAAAACAUUGUGUAUGUAUUUGUACCUUUAUACAUAUAAAAAUGUUAUAUAUCUAAAAAUAUACAUAUAAAAACGUAUAAAAAUCCUAUUAAUAUCUCUAUACGUGUAAAAAUGUUAUAUACGUAUUUAUAGAUACAAAUACGUAUAAAUUGCAUUAUAUACCUAUUAAUAAGUAACAUAAAUAAAAAGCAUACAAAUAUUUAUACACAAUUUUAAAAUGAAAAAUGCAUAUACCUAUAUUUAUAUACCUUCACAAAUUUUUUUAUAUAGUAUUAAGUGUCUUUAUUUAUUUUAAAGGUAUAAACACAAUUUUAAAUAAACAAAUGCGUUUCUUUUACAUAUAAAAUACAUUUAUAAAUUCAUGAAAUAAUAAUAUUAAUAAUAAUAAUUAUAAUCAUAAUAACAUGUUAGAUAUUAAGUAUAAUCUUUCUAGAAUGUUUUCAAGCAAAUUUUGUUGUUGCUUCACAUGUGCCGCCACCGUCUCCACCUCCGGUUGCUUCACCUUUGUCGCCUUCGCCUCUGGAAUCUUCUGCAUGUAAAAUUUUCUUUUUCUCUUGUUAUGUAUUUCAAGUUUAAUGUUUGAAAAUCGAGUAUGUUUCCCCGUAAUUUGAGUAUCAGAUAAUUGUUGCUCUUUUUUUUUACAGUCAAAGUUGUUUUUUUUUUCUAAAUUCAAAGCAUCUUUUGAAGUCGUUCCACCAAACUAGAACCUUACUUUGAGGUUAGUUGUGGUUCAGUUUUAAUUUAUGAUAAUGUGUUGAUUUCUGAAAUAUAUUGGUUGAUUUCUGAUUGUGUUUAUUUGGUGAAAUAUAUUGUUGAGAAUGUGUUACUAGUUUCUCAUUGUUCUUUUUUAUUGAAAAUGUGUUCCUAGUUGCUAAUAUAAGUUGUUGAUUUUGUUUAUUUGCUAAAAUUUGUUGGGGAUCUUGUUAUUAUGUGUUGAAUUGUCGUUGACAUCUGUUGUUGAUCUUUGAAAUUUGUUUGUGUUGCUAGUGAAAUCGUAUGCUUUGCUUUUUCUUUUUCCUUCUGAAAUAUGAUAAUAUUUUGCUGAUGAAAUCAUAUGCUUUGAUGUUUUGCUUGAUGAAAUCUGAAUAUUAGCAUGUUAUGGAUUCACUAAAUGAAAGUACAAUGUUAUAUCUUGAACAUGUGGUGUCUAUUAGUAGAGGAUAUUUCAUACCUACAAGUUUAUGGAGUUCAUUAACAUUAGAUUUGUUAUGGAUGGUGAUGGUUCUAAAAGAUUUCACAAAGCAACGAAAACAUGAGCUUUGGGUAUAAUCAAGAAAUGAUAAUGUUAUGCUUGAUUUGGAUUUAUGUUUAAUCUGGAUUUUAUAUGGUGUUUGGAAAUUUUUUAUAAUUAUUCAAGAAGUUUAUUCAGUUAUUUUAUAAAAAAAAUGUUAAAUUUAGCAAAAAAUAACAUAGAAUGGUAAAAUGGCAAUUUUAUAAUUCAGCACUACAAUUCAGAGGUUCCAACCAAACAACAUUUGAAAAUUCAGAUGUUAAAAAUUCAGACCCUCUUAGAAAUUCAGGCCACUUAAAAAUUCAACUCUUAUAAAUUCAAAUCCUGCCAAACAACCUUUUACGCCCUCCUCCAUUUCUAGUCAAUUACUUUUGUUUUUCUCCCUUGAAUAAAGCAACGCUCCGACCCAACAAGUUCAUCCCAUUAGCUAAGGUGUGACCGUUCUUUAAAGGUAAACUCCUGCUAUAGGGUAAAAAUGAACAAACUUGUUGAGUGUGUCAGCUAAGGUGUGGCCUCCCUUUAAANGGUUUACUUGUUACCUGAGAAUACAAGUAUUUUGAAAAACGUCAACAUAUGAAAUGUUGGUGAGUUCAUAAGCGGUAUUUGAAAUCAACGUUUUGUAUUAUUUGAAAACCACCAGAAAAUCCGAUAUUUUCUGAAAAGAGUUUCUGAAGAUCCAUAAGUAUGCUUGUUUGUUUCUAUAGUUGUAAAAAGUGUUCAUAAAACUUGUGUACAUUUCGAAACUGUAUGUAUUGAAAAACCCUAGGAAAACCCGAUGUUUUCCUAACACUUUGAAUUCCAUGUAGUUGUUGUACCAUCGCGGCAUGUGAAGUCAUUGAUUCCAGGCGACGUCGGAUUAUUGCGCAUUGUGAAUUAUUAUAAACACGCGUUACGUAAACGACCAGUUUACAAUUAUACAAACGAUCCCGUAGGCGUCGUCCAUACUAUUCACGUAAUCCAACCGCCCUGACUUCUUGUAGUCCCGCAUCCGAAGAGAAAGAGGGCACGAAGACCUCGAUAACUCCAUUAGUCGGUCGGGGAUAAAAUGAGUACGAAGGGCCCUUGGCCCACUUGCAUGUGAAUAACCGACUUUACUAGCAGUACCAAAGGACCCUUGGGGACCAAUAGUGAAAAGCCAUUGAAAGUCCUUUUACGCUGUGUUGGAUCAUGUAAGACCCAACAACUCGUAAGGUUGAAGUCUUCGGGCCUAAAGAUCAGGUCAUUGGGCUAGCUAGGCCCAACAAACAAGAUUUUACACUUUGGGGCCCAAAGAUGGUGCGUCGACGUCUGUGCACUCUCACGUGUGUAUUGAAUUCCCAAAUAUUACUUGUAUGAAUCGAGUUAUCGUCGUGUUAGUAGUUUCGGGUUUGUUAUUGAUUCGAGACCGAACCAAUUCGUUUGAUAACGAUUUUUUUGGUGUUGUUGUGUAUUGAAAUUCGUCGAUAGUCGUAGUGCCAUUAUUUGUUCACAACGGAUGUAUUGAAUUAACAUUGAAAAUUUUCUACUUACAGCCCCUCUUUGUUUGGUAAAUUUACUUUUUCAACCCUUGGAAUAAAUAAAUUUCCGGUUUAGUCCUUAAACCAUUUUUCUUGUCAUUUUAACACCAAAACUUAUUGCAAUUGACAUUUAUCAGCAUAUUCUUAGUUGAAAACAGUUUUAGUCCCUGAAAAUACUGUUUUCUCGGUUGUAGCCCCUCUUUUUCGUAGUUUUUACAUUUUUGGCCCAAAUUGGAAAAAUUUUGCAACUUUGGUCCUUUUUAAUUUUGAAAAGCAUUUUAAACCUUAGAAAAGGGUUUGGAACACUAAUAGUCCACUGUUUUACAGAAAAAUACAGUUUUAGCCCCUCACAACAGAAAAUUUCGCAUAAUGGGCCCUAUUGGGCCAAAAAUGUCAUUUUUAGCCCAUUAAGCUUGAAAUUUAUAUUUUUAAUCCACCAAAAGAAUAUAUUUCCAGAAAACAUUUUAUUGAAACUGUUUUGACUACUCUCAUCCAUCAGAAUUCGCAAUAUGUCAAUUUGGGCCCUUUAACUUUAUUUUUUUAACAUUUUGUGCCCAAAAAUGAGUUUUUAGCCCAAAGAAGAUGUUAUGUGGCCACUUAACUAUUUUUCUUGGAAUACUUUGUAUGUUGUGAUAUAAUUUAUGCUAAUAUCAUUUAACAUAACUUACAUCUCGAUUUUUAGGAAUUUAUGGCUAGAUCCAACAUCAUAAUCACACAAAAACACACAUAUAAGCAUAGAAAUCAUACAAGGCAUACAAAACACAUAUAUAUCUACACUUUCACUUGUAUUCCCCCCCAUAAAACUUAUAAAACAGAAAAAUAGGGAGUACGAAGCUCACCUUAGGGUGUAGUUUCGGUUCUUGAAGAAAAGAUGGAAGAAAGUUUGGUGAUUUUUGGCCCUAGCACCCCUUGAUGAAGAUCUCGAGUUUAUGGAGUUUUCUAGGAGUAUGAUCACCAAAGAAACUUGUUUAGAAUAAGUGAUCUUAUAUGAGAGGGGAGUUUUGUAACUUAGACAUGGAAAAACUUACCAAAGGAUGAUGAUUAUCUUGUAAAAUCCUCUAGAAACACAAGCAAAAUUUUGAGAUUUUGAAUGGAGAGGAAGAGAGAAGUCUUGAGUGGUUUAGAGAGAUUUUUGUGAGAUGUGUGUGUGUGUGUGUGGAGACUCUCGGCCAAAGGAAAAGAAAGAGGGGGAAGAGAAAUGAGUGAAGUGAUAGGUGCAUGCAAACAUGUGUUUGUGCAUGGAGAUCCAUGAGAGAAUAAAGAGGUGGCAAUGAAAGUCAAACCUUCUUCAUUUCUUCUUGGAUUUGGGCCUUGGGCCGAGAAUUUUGAAGGAAAAGGAAAAUUUGGGCUUUUAUGCCCUCAAGCCCAUGUAGAAGUUAGGUUGGAUGAGUUUUAACCUAAAAGAAAUAUAAUAUGAUUUUCACACUUUGUUGGGCUAGUUUAAGUUAAUCAUGGUUCAAAACUUUUAAUUUAUUUCAUUCUAGGCCCAAUAUGGCCCAAAAUGUUGAAAUAAAUGUAUGUGGGUCCAAUUAGAGCCCAUUUAAGGGUUCUAAGCCCAUGAUAGUCAAAUUGGAAGCUUAUUGGUUCAUUGAGUCCAAUAAGGAAGUCCUAGUCCAAAAAUGGACCUAAACAAGAACUUCUAGGGUUUCCAAUUGCUUGUUGACUAUUUGUAGUACUUGUAUGAUGUAUUUGAUUGAAGUUUUUGAUGUCAUAUAAUAAGCAUCACACAUGCUUUUAAGUUUUUGGUUCAACAUUUUACUUGAGUAUAGUGAUUACAAGACACAAAAUUUCUAGUUGUGACAACUUAAAAAUUCAACUCUUAUAAAUUCAAAUCCUGCCAAACAAUCUUUUACGCCCUCCUCCAUUUCUAGUCAAUUACUUUUGUUUUUCUCUCUUGAAUAAAGCAACGCUCCGACCCAAAAACUUCAUCCCAUUAGCUAAGGUGUGACCGUUCUUUAAAGGUAAACUCCUGCUAUAGGGUAAAAAUGAACAAACUUGUUGAGUGUGUCAGCUAAGGUGUGGCCUCCCUUUAAAUGAAAAAUCUAGCUAGGGGGUAAAAAUGAACAAAUUUGUUGAGUGUAGAGGCUUGAUUUGCUUAUUGGAGUUAUCAUAAGCAUGGCUACGUAUUGGUAGUCCGCUUAAGCAAGUUGCGUAUGGCAAUUAACAAGCACGGGGAAACACGGACAAUCGGAAGGGCUUAAACCAAUAGUCAUUGUUUUACCAUUUAGACGUAGACUAUGAUUUACUAAUAGUUAGCAAAGCAGUAAAAUAUAAUAACAAUAUUUAUAUUUCGGUACAACUAAUUAUUUUAACUUUACAAAAAUUUAUUUUACAGAAUUAAUAAUUAUACAUUGACAAUUAGCAGAUCAAAUUAUUUUCAAUAAUUUUAAUUUUUCUUAAAUCUUUAUAAUAUUCUUUUAUUUAAAUAAAUAUGAGCUUAGAAACUAACAAACAUCAAAUAAGAUUGUGUUUCUAUUUUAUAGUUAGUUAUUUAUAUGCAUAUAUAGAAAUGCGUAUAUCAUGAACAUGGGGCCAAAUGGUUAGUCAACAAAUAAAACCAAUCUAUUAUAUAUAAAAUCAGUAUUAAAGAGGUCAAAAAUCAGGGGGCCAUGGCCCCCUAUCUUAGAGGCUCCGCUAGGGGUGAGCGCGGUGCGCUUAUUAGCUAAAAUCUCACCACUAACCGCAAAUGAUGUUAAUCCAUUUUCAAAACCGCAUGGUGCGGUUAUUUUUGCGGUACGGUUAGGCGGUUAUUUUUGCGGUGCGGUUUUGUUUUUUUUUUUUUUUUAUGUUGCGGUUAUUAACCGCAUGAAUUUUGUGUCGUUAUUUUGUGUGGUUUUUAACCACAGUUUAGAGCUUAAACGGUUUUAAGAGUUUAAACAUAUUACUUAUAGUAAUAUAAAAAACCUUAAGGUAUAAGAAAAUUAACUUAAAUCACAAAAAACUAAUAUCUUAAAAACAUCAAAUCAAUAGUAAGUAACAACAAAUAUCUUAAAAUUGUCUAAUUUCACAUUUUUUAAAGUUAAACAUAAAAUACUUUUGUCUUCUAGUAUUUAUCCAUCUUUCAUCCAUGAAACCUAUUUUAUUUUUAAUAGUUAAUAUGUUAAUAAUUAAUAAAAAAAUUGUAUAUAAUAUAUACGGUGCGGUGCGGUUUUUUUUUUGCGGUUUUUGAAAACUAAUAACCGCACCGCACCGUAAGUUCGCGGUUUUUGGAAAAAAGAAAAUCUCACCAUCGGUUUUUAUUGCGGUUGCGAUUUAUGCGGUUUUUGCGGUUAAUUUUUGUUGCGGUGCGGUUUUUGCUCACCCCUAGGCUCCGCCCCUAUUAGCAAGAGGCUAUUUAUGAGUAAUCAACCAUUAUUCCAUAAGCGGGCAACAAAUGCUCAAGCAACAUAACAUGUUUUCUUUGAGAGCAAGUUUUGACUCGCACUGGGACCAAUUUUGCCAGCAUUGACUUCGGCCCAUGAUUUUUUUGCCCAUUAUUAUUAGGUCAACCACUCUAUAAAUAGUCUCAUUUAUUUUAAUCCUAAUGUAUUUUACGAAAUAGCUUUCUACGAUAGGAAGAAAUAAAUCUGUCUCUCUCUCUCAUGUUUGUCAUAGAUAUAACUGGUCAUUCAUGUGGUCAUAUAGUUAGAGAAUCCAAUUUCUAAUUUGUAUGAUGCACAUUAGAUUCGAGCUUGCCUACAUGAAUAACAUACAAUCAAAACAAGACCAUUAAUGCACAUCAAGUACUCAUUAAAUUGAAUGAGAAAGGCUGGAUUAAAAAAGUCUAAUGGUUGGAAAUCUGAGGUAGAAAAAUGAAAUAAUGUCCUAAAUCAUUUGAAUUAUUUUUAAGUUUUUUUUUUUGAACGGCAAAUAUAAUAUAACCUAUCUACUCCUAAAAUACCCCUUAAUUCCAUGUAUGUCCACAACGAGACUUGAACACUCAACCUCAAGGAGGAGGGCAACACCAGAUACCGUUGAGAUAGAAGCUCUUUGGUAAUUUAAUUUAUAAGAAUAUAGGUAGCAAAAUUACAAUUAUUUCCACAAUACUUUAGAAAUCAUUAGGGCCAACAACAUGUAGAAUCAAGAUGACAAAAAGACAUUAUUAUAAACAAAUGCAGCAUAUUUUUAUUACCUUUCGACUGUUGACAAUGAAAAACGUUAGCCUCAUUGGUCUAAGGUAGUUCCAACAAAAUAAACGUCCUCAUUUGGCGGCUGAGACUUGAUAGAUUGUCCACCUGGUUCAACCUCGCACGUAGGGGGUAAUCAUCGCAUGCACCAUGUGUCCGCUUUUUAAUGUUUUCAUGGACUCCUAUAUUGAACAACUCAUUUAAUGCCUUCCUAGGGAUAAACUCUACUUAUGGUGUGAAAACAGGUCUCAAUAUAUUUUUGAAGCGAUUUCAAGGGUGCUAUUAUUGACCAUAUGGACAUACAGGCACGGUAUGAUUUUCAAUAGCAAAGUGAAGAUAUUGUCUACUCUAACUUAUGAGGCCAAGACUUUGAGCAUUUUAUGGUUAAAAAUAAAGCUAAAUGGUGUAGGGAUUUGAUAUGGAACUCAUGGGCCAACACCUUCUAUAUUGUACAAUGUAAUUCCUGCUUCUUGAAGUUCAAUUUAUAUAAAGUCAAGCCGUUAAAACAGCCUCAAUAAGAUCUCAUUUUAUUGGCAAAGAAGUGGGAAAUUACAUAUUCGGUUUUUUAUUAAUAGAAUGAAGGAAUCAGUAAGUAACAUCAACUCUUUUGUACCAAUGAUAAAGACUAAAAUGGUAAUCAAAAUGCGUCAAAAACCCAAAUAUAUGAUGUAAAUUUUUUCCUCAUAGUUGAGUUGUUUUGCAAGCAGCCUCCCCCAUGUCUAACAAAUGAAGUGUUUCGACACACUCCCGAAAGUCUAUUAAACUAGAAGCAGCAUUGAAUCCAAGUACUCCUGAUCGCACCCCUGUCUUGGGAUUAUAAAUUUGGAACCCUUCCCCAUAAGUAGUGAGCAACAAAUUACACUCGUUGGUCGUUUGCGGUUGUGGUUGGAAUUGAAAAGCUCCAUCAACUGGAAGUUUACCCGAAUCCAAGUAUCAUCAACAUCCAUACGAUAAGAAAUCAAAGCUAGAGAAUCUUGGAUGGUUGUUAUUCCUGUUGUUAGCCAAUCCCAAGUGGGUCCAGGCAAUGGAAUCAUACCAAAAACAUGAGCACUCAAAUCGAAUGUCAGUAUAUAGGAAGGAGGAUAUAUGUCUUGUGAUUUGAUAUGAUCACGAGUUACUUCCCAAUGUAACACUCCAUUGAAUAAAAAAGUCUCAUAUAACACAGAAGUAAACUCAGGUUUAGGGGAAGCAACUUCACACCAAGUGCCCGUCUUCACUGCAUAAACAAAUGAACUGUCUUUUUCAUAUGAUAUCCAAACAAUUUUGUAAUCAUCACUGAUUGGGUCAAAUCCAAACCCAAUACCUCCCAAAGUGAGUUCAGAACUCCGAGGACAUUCAGGCACUCUUACUUUGCGUCUGAUUGAAGGGUUCCAUAGAGUCAAACCAUUUUUAGUCUUCAAACAGAAAGUUCCAUUACAUGAACCAACAGUUCUGAACUUAUUGUUACAAGGAAACGGAACUAACCAAGGUCCUGCCCUCUGCAUCUGACCUAAGUCCGGAACUAACUGCCUCGGACCGAAGUCCAGAACUAACUGCAUCAGGCCUAAGCCUGGAACUGACUGCAUCGGACCAAAGUCCGGAACUACUGAACAUAACAUAGCACGCACAUAUCAACUAGCAUAACAACAUGGACUGCAUACUGAGUCGGGCCAUACCCGAAACACAUAACACACAAAACCUGUCUGAGCCACGAAGGCAUCAAACAUUCUAACUACUGCAUCGGACCGAUGUCCGGAAACUACUACUAAUUAAUCAGGCCGGCAUUGUGGCCUUAGACCCGUUCCUACUGGAAGGAAACUCACCUCGUAGCCUAGCUGCUGAAAGAACUGCUCCGGAAUCUGUCGGCUGUGGCACCGGCUUCACCCUGGCUACAAUUUUCAUAAGUACCCUCAAUCAAAUACUGAUAAUAAUACUGAGGGUAAAAAGACUAUCUUACCCUCGGUCAAAGUCAACCUAUCGGUCAAAGUCAACAUUCAGUUGACCUGACUCGUCGAGUCCUUACUCUCACUUUCUUGCUUCAGCUCGUUACUACUCGUCGAGUUUGGCAUAGACUCGACGAGUUCCUCUUCAAAACUAACACUCAGUCAAUUUGCAUCCGACUCGCCGAGUUGUAUGCACAACUCGUCGAGUUCUCCUUCAACAUAUGAACACUCUGACUGNAGUGUUAUGAACACCUCGUCGAGUCUAUUCUUGAGGCAUGAAGAUUUCCUUGGACUCGCCGAGUCAGGGCAUUGACUCGCCGAGUUCUUCCACGAAUGAGUCUAACCUCUAUCUCAUUGAGUCCAUCUCUCACUCACUAGUUCCACUCAGCAUAACUCGAAAAGGUGGAAAACAGGGGACUCGCGACUCGACUCGCCGAGUCUGAAGAACGACUCGCCGAGUCGUAUACAUGCAAACCCUAUAUACUCGAUUUUGCUUGAAUCCAGUUCAUUACAUUCAUAGAUCUGGGUUCUUAGGGCUUGAUUAACACAUAAAGUUNNNNNNNNNNNNNNNNNNNNNNNNNNNNNNNNNNNNNNNNNNNNNNNNNNNNNNNNNNNNNNNNNNNNNNNNNNNNNNNNNNNNNNNNNNNNNNNNNNNNCUAUGGCAAAGGGAAAUCGGCACUUCAUCUAAAGUAGAGAACCCCGAGCCGAAUUCCCUCACCUCUCCUCUCUCCCAAAUCAUCCUCCUUGCUAUUUGGUGUUUCUAAGCCAUUAGAGGAGUGACAAUUAUGACUCUAGAAGCUCCAAGACAACAAGAUCAAACAAGAGAUUCAAAUGUAUGAUUCUAGAUCUGAUUUAAUAUUGUUCUUAUACCUAAUUAGUAAUUAGAAGUCUUGGAUUCAAAGCAUGUUUAAUUAAAAAGCCUAGAUCCAAG